rnacentral:lncRNA from 1 species
CGGGGCUCUGUUUCUGGCCAAAGUCUUUUUCAUUCCUGCAGCCCGGUUUAUGAUACACACACGCUCAGGGAUUGUACUUCCCAGAGAGGCUUCCGCCUGUGCUUGCUCCCGGAAUCUAUUAUCCAUCGUGCUUUUUUGUUGCACACGUCUUUAAAGUCCACCAGAAUCCAACGAAAUGGAGCCUCGAGGAAAAGAAGAGAUUUAGCCGCGAAGGAUUCUGGGAAUGCUGGGCUUACAGGGGCGCCGAUCUUCGCUGGCGCUAGGCGCUUGGUUUCCUCUCCGCAGCUCUCUGCGCACGGUACGCCUGUCCCUCGUUGGCCUUCCACUCAGGGCAAUCACCAGCCACUCUCAGGGUCCUCUUGAGCCGUACUAAAAGUUUGGGAAGACUAAAGGAAAUCAGAAGUCCCUCAGUCUGAACAGGACAGCCGUGAGUGGGUGGCCUGGGACCCUCAAAGUAUAAAAACCUAUCGGCCGGCGGGAACUGCUUCAGUCAUUUCAGGGGCAGUGUUUGAUCAGCACUUCUGCGGGAGGAGAUUCCUGAAUCCUGUGUUCCUUAAGGGCUUCCCUGCUGCAGGCUGGGGAUGUUUCAAUGGACUUUCCCUCGAGCCCUUUGGAAAUUACUUCUUAAGCAAUUUUUCGAUGAUCAGCUCCUUUUUAUAGGCAUUUUGUCGUUAAGGGGAGGGGACUGGGUUACCCAGGAAAUAAGUGAGUAUGGGGAUUCUAAGGCUCCUUUUCAUUUUGUCUUGUCUCUUUCCCUUUCAAUCACAGCCGGUGGCAUUUUUGCCAGUGUAAGUUUCUUAAUUUUGUGGGUCUUCCUAUGAAUCUUAAUGGGAUUGGCUCCAUCGGAGAAGCCACACUCACAAAUGUCUUUGAGCUAGCCCUUCUCUAUAUUGGGCAGCUGUAGUUUGGGGCUUACAGUUUUGUAAGAAGUCUGAAGUGGGUCUCACUGGGCUAAAAUCAAGGUGUCGACAGUGCUGCAUUCCUUCUGGAGGUUCCAGGGGAGAAUCUUUUCUUGCCUUUUCCAACUUCCAGAGGCUGCCUGCAUCCUUGACUCGCAGCCCCUUCUUCCAACUUCAAAGUAGCAACCUCAGCCAGAGUCCGUCCAUUGCUGCCCUCUGUAUGGUUCUCUCUCCUCCGCAGCCCUCUUCCACUUUUAAGGACCCUCAUGGUUAACACUGGGCUCACCCAGCUAAUUGAGGAGAAUCGUUAAGGCCAGCUGAUUAGCAACCUUAAUUCCAUUUGCAAUUUUAUUCCCUUUUGUCAUGUAACCUAACAUAUUCAGAGGUUCCGGGGAUUAGGACAUGUAUAUCUUUGGGGGGUGGUAUUCUGCUGACCACAGCAGGAUUAGAAAACCAGAUGGAAGUGAAUGGAUACCGGGAAUCUAGGAUCCAGCUGGCUGUCAGGCUGGCAGAGGUAUCCCAGACCUGUCAGCUCUCAGGAAAGCUGCAUCCAGAGUGCUUUUUGGAUCACUGGGGGAUACCUGGCCUCACUCUAGACUCACUGCCGUGGUCGUUUCAGAAUUGAAUCCGUGAUCAGGAAAUGUUCCCAGUGUUGCUAAUGUACUCCUCCCACACUUGAGAGUCCUGAAUCCCAUCUCCUGAGAAGAGGCGUUGGGCUCAAGUGGCUAGAGAGAAGUUUCUUGUCAGAGAAAUCUUGCUACCUUGAGGAGAGGAAGCAUAACUAGACUGGGAUGGAUAGGACACUUAGGGAAGAGGAAGUGUUUCAUAUCCCUGGGACCAGGAGGCCAGAAUGAGGCAAACUUGCCCCUCUGUCUGGCCUCCUGUGUUGAGGAGGCCUGAGGUGGCAGAAGGAAGAUGGGAGAAGGGCCCCCAAGAAAGCUCUGGCCAGCCUCAGGCUGUCCCCACCCCGCUGAUAUAGCGUAUGUGGAGAUAAGGGAGCACCCAGGAGCAAGUGUCACCCCUCCCCUUCCAACAGCAGCCAAAAGGGUCAUGACCCUGGCUGCCCUAACUUGGCCCUUGUGUGUCCUGAAGCACAGACACACUGCUUAGAAAGAUCAUCCUGGUCGCAGUGGCUCACGCCUGUAAUCACAGCACUUUGGGAGGCCGAGGUGGACAGAUCACGAGGUCAGGAGUUCAAGACCAGCCUGACCAACAUGGUGAAGCCCCGCCUCCACUAAAAAUACAAAAAUUAGCUGGGCGGGGUGGCACGCACCUGUAAUCCCAGCUACUCAGGGAGCUGGAGCAGGAGAAUCACUUGAACCCGGAGGCAAAGGUCGCAGUGAGCCGAGAUCGCACCACUGUAUUCCAGCCUGGGCGACAAAGCAAGACUCCAUCUCAAAAAAAAAAAAAAGAGAUUCUCCUUUGUCUUGCCUCUCAGCUGUCAUAAGCAAUCAGUGUCCUGUCCCCUUAAUAAUGUGGUGGUUCUCAAAGUGGGAUCCCCAGGCCAGCAGCAGCAGCAUCCCCCUUAAAAGUUGUUAGAAAAGCAAAUUCAGGGGUCCCACUCCACACCUAUAAAACAAAUUCUGGGGUCAGGGCUUAGCAGCCUUUGUUUUGACAAUCCUUGUAGUUGAUACGCUAUAAAGUUUGAAAAUCACU